rnacentral:rRNA from 1 species
GAAUAUUGGUCAAUGGACGAGAGUCUGAACCAGCCAAGUAGCGUGAAGGAUGACUGCCCUAUGGGUUGUAAACUUCUUUUAUAUGGGAAUAAAGUAUUCCACGUGUGGGAUUUUGUAUGUACCAUAUGAAUAAGGAUCGGCUAACUCCGUGCCAGCAGCCGCGGUAAUACGGAGGAUCCGAGCGUUAUCCGGAUUUAUUGGGUUUAAAGGGAGCGUAGGUGGAUUGUUAAGUCAGUUGUGAAAGUUUGCGGCUCAACCGUAAAAUUGCAGUUGAAACUGGCAGUCUUGAGUACAGUAGAGGUGGGCGGAAUUCGUGGUGUAGCGGUGAAAUGCUUAGAUAUCACGAAGAACUCCGAUUGCGAAGGCAGCUCACUAGACUGCAACUGACACUGAUGCUCGAAAGUGUGGGUAUCAAACAGGAUUAGAUACCCUGGUAGUCCACACAGUAAACGAUGAAUACUCGCUGUUUGCGAUAUACAGUAAGCGGCCAAGCGAAAGCAUUAAGUAUUCCACCUGGGGAGUACGCCGGCAACGGUGAAACUCAAAGGAAUUGACGGGGGCCCGCACAAGCGGAGGAACAUGUGGUUUAAUUCGAUGAUACGCGAGGAACCUUACCCGGGCUUAAAUUGCAUUUGAAUAAUCUGGAAACAGGUUAGCCGCAAGGCAAAUGUGAAGGUGCUGCAUGGUUGUCGUCAGCUCGUGCCGUGAGGUGUCGGCUUAAGUGCCAUAACGAGCGCAACCCUUAUCUUUAGUUACUAACAGGUCAUGCUGAGGACUCUAGAGAGACUGCCGUCGUAAGAUGUGAGGAAGGUGGGGAUGACGUCAAAUCAGCACGGCCCUUACGUCCGGGGCUACACACGUGUUACAAUGGGGGGUACAGAAGGCAGCUACCUGGCGACAGGAUGCUAAUCCCAAAAACCUCUCUCAGUUCGGAUCGAAGUCUGCAACCCGACUUCGUGAAGCUGGAUUCGCUAGUAAUCGCGCAUCAGCCAUGGCGCGGUGAAUACGUUCCCG